rnacentral:lncRNA from 1 species
UCCAUCUGAAAAUCACAGAGUUAAUAAUUACAGUCUAAGCUGAUAAAACCCUGCUCUGCAUCACGGCCAUUUUCUCUCUGGAGUGCGGUUUCCCAGGAAAAUAACAAAGCAACUUCACGAGUGCAUCAGGCAGGGAUUUUAAGUUUAGCCAAUGCAGUUUCCUUUCCAGGCUGCAUGAAUCACCUCCACCCCCUGGGGCCCGGCCUGCUGCCACAGAGCCGCCCUGACGGAUACUAGCCAGCUGUCCUCCCAAGCCUCCCGCUGGGCGCUAUACCUUCCCCUGUGCUGCGAGCAUCCAGCAUCCAGCAAGGAAUAAACUGUAUCCUCCUGCCUCAGCCGGAUAAACCGGAUAAACCGGAUAAACCGGAUAAACCGGCAGAGCUGUGGGCCACUUACCUGCACAGUGGAGCUGUCCGGUGACCUCCCUCUGAGCUGCCCAGGGCCAUGCUCUCCGGGUUGACGGAGGAGGCAGGUUUUCACACCUCCAGGGCUUAUGCUGCCUUCUGCCCAGGGCCAUAUGGGGAGGCAGAAGGCCUCCCUGCACUGGGCACAAGACCCAUAGCCACGGCCCCAGCACCCCACCACAGGACUGGGUGGAUCCCCAGUGGAGAGGCCAGGGCUUUACAUGUCAAAUGAACAGCAAGGGAGCCUUCGGGAGGCUGAAUAGAUGUCCAGGGACCCAGAGCCCAGGCCUGAAGUCCCGGUUUCUUUCUCAUUGCUGUCCCUGCAGUCACAUAGCUGACCCCUGCUCUGCACUCGGUGACACCAAGACAAGGGGAGAGGAGUGUCCAGGUGUCUUCCAAGAGCACCUGAGACAGAGACUUUCCCGUUGAUAGAGACCCCUCCACUGCUGCCAAGGAACAAUGAUGGAGCCCGGUGAGCGCGGGAGCGACCCCAGGCAGCCGAGCGACUGCAAGUCAGAGUGCGGUUCCAGGAAGCAGAGUGAGAGGAGAGGGGACACCAGGAUACGUACCCUCCCAGGACUGGCUCCAGGGACCCUCCUCCUCCGGCCACAGGCACCUGCUAUGGUCACCACGUCAUUCGAACCAGGAUGCACGAUUAGGUCACAGCUCUCGAAAUCUCAUCCCUGUGUUUCUGAACAUUCCUGCAUUAGCGCAGGAGAUUUGGGGGGACAUUCACAUCCAAACCAUAAGAGGGGUCACAGGCUUCUGACACCCGGCCGCUCUCACCCCUUCAUUCUGUGCCUGAAGAAACCAAAGCCAGGGAAUGACUUCCCCAAGCCCCGCGGCAGGUCAGGAGUGGAGGUAGAGCACACAGGCCCCUGACCACAGGGAAGGGGAGCUCCUGCCACAGGGCUGGCCACAGCCCAGGGCUGGCCAUGCAGGACCAACGCUCUGGCUCCUGCCCUGGUGUGGGCGUUUCCCGGGUGCCUUCCUGGUCUGGGGUGGCUGCAGCUUCCCUGGGUGGAGCUGGACAUGGGCUGGGGAUGGUCUGGUGUGGCAGGAGCUCUGGGACAGGAGCUCAGAAGUGGGAGCAAACUGAUUCUAAAGAUCUUGAAGAAGGAAGGAGGAAAACUGCCAUUCUUUACCUUCAGGCUGAAGCCCCUGUCAGGGACAGAGCAGAAUUCAACAAAGUGUGAGACUGUGAUGGAAACACACGUUUUGCUCUCAGUUUGGUCAACAUCACAGGUGCUUGGAAAGGGACGCCCUUCGUCUGUGACCCGGAGAGCACUGAGUCUAACAGGUCAGCACCUGACUUCCUCACUGGCUUCUCCACGCAGGUUUUCAAAUACAUUUGCUCCCAGGACCCAAGCAGAAGAGAUGAGUUGAGACCACCAAGCAGUUAGAUCAAUGGUUGAGUUGUCUGUGCAUCAGCCUGAGCUAUGCCCAGGAAAAUUCAAUGUCAGUUUUGUGCCCCAGAAAAUGGAGGUGGAGGACCUAGCCAUAGAGCAUAGCUCACCCAGAAGGACUGGGUCAGGUGCAUGGAGGUGGACAGUAUCUCCCAGUCACCAGCCUAAGACCUCCAAGGUCAGGAGGACAGCCAGGGCCAGCUGACCUGGGUGCAACCUCCGAGAUCAGGGAUGCUCAGAGACACUGAGGGAAUGCGGCCCAGGGUGGUGUGGGCUCUUGGACACUCAGCCUGCUUGUUUUCUUAUAUCAGUUAAGCACCUACUGUGUGCCAGUUCCUGCUGUAGGGGGUGAUAGAAACAACACUCGCCCUCUCUCUGCUUCUCGAGCACCCUGUGAGCUGCUUCCCUCUGCCACACUCUCUCGCCAUGAUGUUCAGCCUCCGUGAGCCCUGUGGAAUGGAGCUGGCCUUCUAUGGACUAAGGCCUCUGAAACCCACUUUAACCUGAAACUGCUCUCAGAUGUCUUCCCACCACAUGAAGACUCUGAGUGAAGUCCGCACGGAAGAGAACAGAGUUGAGAGAUGAGAAGUUCUCGACUCCCAGAAACUACCUUUUAGGGCCACAGUGGGGCCACAGUGGGGCAGCUUCUUUGCUAUCCAUCGUUGCUCUAGGACAUCUUGAUUGCUUCUACCAGCCCCAGCACUGAGUGGAGCUGCUGUAGAGGAGAGUGGAGGUGACACAAGCUGUCUUGGAGAAUCAGUGUGCAUGUCCUCACAUUCCACACCGACAGCUGCUUCCUUCCAGACUCAGAAUACCUGCAGCAUGGAGUGUCACCAAGCGCGAAGGAAGACAUUCUGGAAGGUAUGAAGAGAAAACAGCCACACAGUCAAGCAUAGAGGUCUUUGUGGGG